AUAAAGAAAUAGAAAAGAAACAGAAAAGAAAAAAGACCUUUAGUACCGGUUGUUUAUACCAAACGAUACUAAGGGGGCGUUUUCUUCCCGUGUCUUAUUUUUAGCACGUGUCACAUCGAAUGUUUAGAUACUAAUUAGGAGUAGUAAACGUAGACUAUUUACAAAACCAAUUACAUAAGUGGAAUCUAAACGGCGAGACGAAUCUAUUAAGCCUAAUUAAUCCAUCAUUAGCAAAUAUUUACGGUAGCAACACAUUGUCAAAUCAUGAACUAAUUAGGCUUAAUAGAUUCGUCUCGCCGUUUAGAUUCGUCUUAUGUAAUGGGUUUUGUAAAUAGUCUACGUUUAAUACUCCUAAUUAGUAUCUAAACAUUCGAUGUGACGGGUGCUAAAAAUAAGUCAGUGGAAGAAAACGGGGCCUAAAUUAGCAUCGGCCACACGUCGAUGUAGCAGUCAAUUUAGUACUGGUUGAUAUAAACAACUAACCCCUUUAGUACCGAAGUAGCAAUACCGGUUGCACAACCGGUACUAAAGAGGGGUUAGGAAUCGGUACUGAAGGUGCUUUCCCAGCAGGGAGUAUGAGCUAGUAUGUUACUUCUUUUCUUU
rnacentral:lncRNA from 1 species